UGCGCAGGCGGGCUUGUAAGUCAGUGGUGAAAUACUGCCGCUUAACGGUAGAACUGCCAUUGAUACUGCAAGUCUUGAAUAUGGUUGAGGUAGGCGGAAUGUGUUGUGUAGCGGUGAAAUGCAUAGAUAUGACACAGAACGCCAAUUGCGAAGGCAGCUUACUAAGCCAUUAUUGACGCUGAGGCACGAAAGCGUGGGGAGCGAACAGGAUUAGAUACCCUGGUAGUCC
rnacentral:rRNA from 1 species